rnacentral:misc_RNA from 1 species
CAGUAGCAGCCCUCUCCCCCUUGCGUUUCUCUUAUCUCCUUCCCUUCCCCACUGACCUCGUUGAUCGAGCAGGUGCGCGCCUAUGCUUGCACUCCGUCCUCUAGUUCGCUGUUGCCAACUCAGAGAGUCACCACCGCCUGCCAGAUAGCGCAUCCAUUCAUCCAUCGAGUCAUCAUCACGCAGUUGUCGCUCCUCCGACUCGUUUGUCUUUCUCGUCUUCUUCUCGCCCUCCUUCGCCACAUGUCGUGCGCACCUGGGCCGACGAAGGCCGUCCUCUUGGUGAACUUGGGCACCACGACUGCACCAACCGCGCCAGCGGUUCGCAGAUUCCUGCGCGAGUUCCUUUCCGAUCGCCGCGUCAUUGACGUGCCGCGCUUUCUUUGGCACUCGGUCCUCUAUGGCUUUAUCCUGCCCUUUCGCCCACGCAGCAUCACUCCGCUGUACAAGGCCAUUUGGAUCAAAAGUGACUCUGGUGUGGUCAUUAAUGGUAAGACCGAGGGAUCUCCGUUGACGUUGUACUCGGAAAGCCUUGCAGCGAAAGUGCAGGCGUCAGUGGAGAAGACGUCAGGCGGCGCCGUUGUGGCGCGUCACGCGAUGCGCUAUGGCGUCAAGAACAUCCCAUCGACUCUCAAGGCGCUACACGACGAAUUUGCCACGCUCCGCGAGUUGGUCGUUCUCCCGUUGUUUCCACAGUACACCUCCACGACAUCUGCGAGCAUUUACGACGAGGUGUUUAAGUUCUACACGGAUACAAGGCGCCGCUCCAUUCCCAGCUUGCGAACCAUUCGCGACUACGCUGAGCACCCCGUCUAUGUCGAAGCUCUCGGAUCGAGUCUCUUGAGCAGCAUCAAGGCACACGUCACCGCAAAGGCCGGCGCCGCCAAGGACUGGAAGUCGGCCCUCUCCGACCAGCUCCCGGAGAUUGGUAUCAUCAUCACGUACCAUAGCAUCCCUGUCCGCUACGUCGAGGAGCACGACGACUACCCGCAGCGCUGCGAGGCCACCACUGCCGCCAUCAAGGCCUACAUCGAGGCGGAGUCCGGCGUCUCCCUAAGCGGUUGCCUGGUUCAUGUCUACCAGUCCCAGUUUGGUAAUCAACCGUGGCUUGGUCCUACUCUCAACGCUGCAGCGACUGCCUUUCCCCUCCCUCCCCACGACCCUAGAAAGCACGCUUUCAGCGAUGCCCACCGCAACACGGCUCUCUUGACGAAGCAGGCGAAUGUCUGCUUUGCCAUGGCGCCGGGCUUUGCUGUGGACUGUGUGGAGACCUUGAACGAGAUCGAGCGGGAGGCUGGUGAAGUCUUCAAGCAGAGCGGCGGCCGCGAGUUCAUUUACGUUCCGUGCCUCAACGACAGCGACACCCAUGUCAAGGUGCUCACCUCCGUCGUUGGCGCGUGAGUUGGUGCUGCAGCGCCGCUGUUGCGGGACUCCUUCUUUGUUGACCUUCUCUCUCUUGCCGCAGCCCAACUGCACGGUUUGCAUCCAUCAUCCCACGCGCGCUGACCUCUACACGCGCUGCCUUGUUAUAUCGAGGCACGCAACGUUUAACGCACGUCACCACAUAUCGUGACCACUUUCUGUGCUCUCUCUUCCCCCUUCUUCUGGUGUGUUCGCGUGCGUGGCUGACCGUAUCGCCGUACGGUGACGCACCAGCGACAGUGACUGCCGGUGCGGCGCCGGUCGCCUUCUUCACCACAUCCCGCGCAGAAAGCCCAGCAAGGCGCAAAGCAGAGCGGAUUCCUGGCAGCCCGCAAGAUCGAGGGCGAAACAGAAACCCGCUGCCUUCGCACUUCUCUCUCACGUUCCGUUCCGUCGUGUGCGCCUCUGCUUCGGGUUUACCACUCUCUCUCGUUCUCCGCUGAUCGUUGGCUACAAGGUUGGCUUUCGACGUGACAGCUUUUGGCCCCCGCUGCUGCUGCCUCUCGCCAUUUUCGUGUUUUUG